CUCUACUAAUUCAGUGUCAUUUGCAACUUCAAUUUUUUGUGUGCUAAUUGCUUAGAAGAUCUGUUUCGAUUCGAUUCGAUUCAUUUAAAACUUUGCAACUUUAACUAUGCUGUUUGUUUUUUUUUUUGUUUUUUUUUUUUGCGAAGACUAUCCAAAUAUUUUAAUCAUUCAUUUUAUAAAGACAUUGAAACCCAGCAGGUCAGCUUGUGAAAAGCCACUCAACAAACUCACUUAUAAACUUACACGUUAGCCCACCAAAAUAUAAAAAUAGUUGUGAUGGAAUGGAAUCCCUCACCUCACUCUUUAUGACAAAAUAUUAUUUUUCAAUUGUAAAAUGUGCUAUGUGCCAAUUUGUAAAUUUUCUUCAAUUUUAUACAUAUUUAAAAAAAAUAAAAAAUAAAAAAACUGAAAUGUUUCAAAUUUAGACCAUCAGCCCAUCGGCCUGGGCCAAGCUUGCUGGACAGGACCUGGGUUUACAUUUUAGGCCCAAGGCCAGCCCACGUACAGACUUAAAACAAGAAGGUAGUGGGUAAAAAACAUAGAAAAGAAAAGAACGAAGGGGGUUCUGAGGGUACAGCUCAGCAAUUGUGGUGCGCACUGUACCAUAUACUCCACUAGAAACUGUCAUUUUGGCAGUUAACUGAACCCCGCUUUCUCUCUCUCUCUCUCUCUCUCUCUCACUUCAGAGUUCUUACUGAGCCUAUCUAUAUAUACUUGUGGCUUUACAAAUUCAGAGCUAUUUAAAUUCCUCAUACUCUCUUUCUCUCUCUUUCUCUCAAGAACCUGACUCACUGCCUACAUUGAUUCCUCUGUUUUGAAGAGUUGGUGCUUUCGAAGCUGUUUUGAGGAUGGAUCAAGAACAAGACCCAGAUGACCCAUGCUACCUCUGCCGCCAAUGUGGGUACGACAUUACAGACACCGACCAGUUAGUUUCCAAGGAUAUAGUGAUGGAGGCGGGCAUCUUCAAAGAUGAGUAAGAUCUCAUCGUUAAUGCAAUUUUUAUUUUUUUUAAAACUUCUCAUUAAAGAUUAGUUUUGAAUUCUUAUUAAAGAUUAGUGACAGACAUAAAUUCUGAUCUCUGUUGUAAUCAUCACAACAAAUGCAAUUUGGACUAAUCUUGAUCAUCUUUUUGCUAAUCUGCAUUGCAUUUGAUUUGGUGGAAACUUUAAUACUGUGUUUUGCAGUGACUAUAAGGAUGAUGGUGACCCA